UACGUAGGGUGCAAGCGUUAAUCGGAAUUACUGGGCGUAAAGCGUGCGCAGGCGGUUUUGUAAGUUUGUCGUGAAAGCCCCGGGCUCAACCUGGGAAUUGCGAUGAAGGACUGCAAGGCUUGAAUCUGGCAGAGGGGGGUAGAAUUCCACGUGUAGCAGUGAAAUGCGUAGAGAUGAUGGAGGAACACCGAUGGCGAAGGCAGCCCCUGGGUCAAGAUUGACGCUCAUGCACGAAGCGUG
rnacentral:rRNA from 1 species